ACAUCGGUAACUGGUGGUGGGCACGCUGACGCGGCCUUGACCAGUCAUGUCCAUCGACAAGACCCCAAAGCCGCUCGAGAACCGAGGCGGCUUUUUU
rnacentral:ncRNA from 1 species